rnacentral:rRNA from 1 species
UACGAAGGGGGCUAGCGUUGCUCGGAAUCACUGGGCGUAAAGGGUGCGUAGGCGGGUCUUUAAGUCAGGGGUGAAAACCUGGAGCUCAACUCCAGAACUGCCUUUGAUACUGAGGAUCUUGAGUUCGGGAGAGGUGAGUGGAACUGCGAGUGUAGAGGUGAAAUUCGUAGAUAUUCGCAAGAACACCAGUGGCGAAGGCGGCUCACUGGCCCGAUACUGACGCUGAGGUGCGAAAGCGUGGGGAGCAAACAGG